CUUACAUUCUAGGAAGAUUCUACACCAAAAAGCAGGGAGAAGCUGUAAGAUUAAAUGAUGGCUAAAUUAAUCAAAGGUUGUACCUUUAGUUGGGCUUCCCCCGUGGCUCAGAUGGUAAAAGAAUUCUCCUGCAGUGCAGAAGAUGCAGGAGAUGCAGGUUCGAUCCCUGGGUCAGGAAGAUACCCUGGAGGAGGAAAUGGCAACCCACUCCUGUAUUCUUGCCUUGGAAAUCCCAUGGACAGAGGAGCCUGGCAGGCUCCAGUCUCUGGGGUCACAAAGAGUUGGACACGACUGAGCACAUAUGCACAUAUCUUUAAUUUCUUUAAAGGGAGUUCACUACUGUGUGAUUAAAUUAAUAAUUGUUGUCUUUCACUAUCUUAGAUCUGGAAGAAGUUCCCUUCUAAAUACAUACUAUUUACAACAAAUUCAGAUGUAAGCAGUCAGUCAUCUAUUGAGAGAAUUCUAUGAAAAUGUCUUGCCACUGUUGUUCAAAAGCAUGUUAUUUUUUACCUCUUCUAUGAAGAGAUUCAGCUGGUGUGAGUCUUAUGAUGUGACUGCCGCUCUACAAAUGUAGAAAGAAACUGAGGCAGAAGAGGAACAGCUUCAACAGAAAAACACAGGAUGUUGGUGUUUUUUCUUUCAGUGAGUUACACCCGUCAUCCUGGAAGGAGAAUUACAAUCCAAAGGAGUGACAGAACUAAAAGGUUUACCACCAGCUUUUUUAAAAAAACAUAAAAAGCUUUGAAGAUGGCGACGCAUAAGCAUCCUAAACCCAGCUCUUCCCACCAACACACGGGAUUUACAGCUGCAUAUGGAACAACUGCCUCUGAGAAUACCUGAAAACUGGCUGAGUGAUGUCUGCGCACUAACCACGAGAGAAGGCCCGCAUCGAAGCAGGAACCAUCUCUCCCCAGCUACCUUGCUUCAGCCAGUUGGUACCAUCUGCAUGCCCACCUUCUGCCAUGCUCCAGAGCACCAGCAUCUCCCUGAGGGGAGCUGUCACACAUCAGGCAUAGAAACCUACCUUGCAGCCUUAAAUCUAGAAAACUGAAAUUCUCAGAGAGAUUCUCAACAACUCACAGGGACUCUUGACUCCUGAAUCUCAUCCCAGUGUCUUAUUCAGUUUUUAUGAUAUCAAAUCAUACCCAGGUUACUGGGUGCCGUGGCUCUUUUUCCAAUAUUCACCUUGAAAAUAGGAACCCUCCACUGAAAUAUUAGAGGAGUCUCAGAUACAGUUAAAAAGACAGAUGGUGGUGGGGCUUCCCUGGUCAAGAAUCCUCCUGCCCUUGCAGGAGACACGGUUUUGAUCCCUGAUCUGGGAAGAUCCCACAUGUUGCAGAGCAACGAAGCCCAUGCGCCACAACUGCUGAGACUGUGCUCCAGAGCCCAGGAGCCACAGCCGCUGACGCCCGCGCGCCUAGAGACUGUUCUGCAACAGGCGAAGCCGCCAGAAUGAGGAGCCUGCACGCCGCAGCUGGAGAGUAGCCCCCACUCGCCGCAACCAGAGAAAAGUCUACGCAGCAACCAAGACCCAGGACAGCCGAAAAUAAGUGAAUACAGACUUAAAAGGGAAAUAAAGUCUGUUUUGUCUGAAGUAAGGAUUGCUACCCCAGUGUUUAAACAAAAAAGACAGAUGGACAGCAUUUAAGACAGUAUAUUUUCUUUUAAAAAGUAAGAAGUAAGUAUUUGCUACCCCCAUUGUUUUCAAAAAAAUAAAAG